rnacentral:SRP_RNA from 1 species
AACUGGGCCCUACGCGGCGGGACGGUUCGAACCGUGUCAGGGUCGAGAGGCAGCAGCACUAAGGGCUGAAACCCGGGUGCCGUAGGUUUCCCGGUUUGA